rnacentral:rRNA from 1 species
AGUGAACGCUGGCGGUAGGCCUAACACAUGCAAGUCGAACGGCAGCACAGUAAGAGCUUGCUCUUACGGGUGGCGAGUGGCGGACGGGUGAGGAAUACAUCGGAAUCUACUUUUUCGUGGGGGAUAACGUAGGGAAACUUACGCUAAUACCGCAUACGACCUACGGGUGAAAGCAGGGGAUCUUCGGACCUUGCGCGAUUGAAUGAGUCGAUGUCGGAUUAGCUAGUUGGCGGGGUAAAGGCCCACCAAGGCGACGAUCCGUAGCUGGUCUGAGAGGAUGAUCAGCCACACUGGAACUGAGACACGGUCCAGACUCCUACGGGAGGCAGCAGUGGGGAAUAUUGGACAAUGGGCGCAAGCCUGAUCCAGCCAUACCGCGUGGGUGAAGAAGGCCUUCGGGUUGUAAAGCCCUUUUGUUGGGAAAGAAAAGCAGCAGGUUAAUACCCCGCUGUUCCGACGGUACCCAAAGAAUAAGCACCGGCUAACUUCGUG